rnacentral:lncRNA from 1 species
AACGCCUGUCUUUUCAAUGGAGUUGGGAUUUUGACAAUUCAUAAUCACUUGAUGAAUUAUGAACCUAGCGGUUGUUGUAAUUCUCCAUCCAUUCUCGUUUCUUCAACGGGCAAUUGAUGGUCCACAUUCACGGUUUCACUUUUCAACAUUGACAAACAACAUUCAUGAGAUUUCAUUUUUCCAUUGAUUGGAAGGCAAUAGUAGCCAUAAUAUGAUGGAAAUUUGGCUAUAUAUAGAUAGGUUGUUGUCCCCAAGCUCAAAACAUACAUGAUACACUAUCAAAUUUGAGUGUUGAGAGCUUAGAAGUGCCAUUACCUGGAACAAUGAGAGCUUUUUGAACAAUAUCAAUGGAUGAAGGUAUGAAUCUGAUUUGUCGAAUGUUCAAUUUUUCGAUCCAAUUUGAUUCCACAUAAUUGUUUUGGAUCGAUUUUAGUCUAACAGUUGUAAUAUUUCUAGGCAAUAUUUAGCACUUACUCGUACAUAAGAGGUUGACGGAAUGACAUGGAUUUUUAAAAAAAGGUAGAAAAUGUUGGAUGAAAACCGGCCCAUAUCUAUACCGGUUUCACCUCACAUUUCCUCCAUUUUGCACUCAAAUUGCAGAAACUUUUGAAUCCAUCAUCUUUCUGCCCUAACUUCAUCCGGAUUCUUCAACUCCAUUGCUUAACUCAACAAUCCCGACGGUAUCCAUUUUGUCCAGUUGUUUGGUUUUCCAUUUGUCAGUUGUUUGACCGAUUUUUCUUCUUUCGAAGCCAGGAACACCAUCUUCUUAGGGAGAAUCUGCGGCAAACCUUUGGUAAGUAAGAUAUUUGGUUUACAUGGGUGUGUCAAUUUGUUGAGCAUAUGUGUACUAUGUGUUCUGAUUGUGUAAUGAGAUGCCAUUUUUAGAACACAUGUAGUAGUUUCUAUUACAGAGGUCUUCAACAUCCUUGCGAAUUUGAAGUUAAUGACAUGACUUAUGCUAUUUUAUCACUAUUAAUUUGUUUUUGCAUAAAUAAAUUUACAGGGAUCCAAAUGAUUCAAAGAUUGGUGCAUCUUUUUAUUAAAUUUAUGGUCACUUGAUAUUAUUAGUUGUGCAUACUGUAAUUUACUACUUUUCGACUUGCUGAAGAGAUGAUAAGGUUUUCUAUUUAACCGUUGCAUAGUAAGACAAUCUAUAUGUAGAGUUCAAUAAGGUAAACUAAAAAUAUUGUCGAUAAAUGUUAAGUAUUGCUAAAAGAAAACCAAUGGGAAAAACCUAUGGGUUAAAAUUUGUCUGUUUAGUUAGGUAGUCUGGCCUAUUUCUGGAUUAACUUGGCCUAGAUAAAGGUAUGUGGUUGAGGUUUUGUGUAUUGAAUGUGUAAUGAAGUUUCAUGUUUUCAGAAAUUUAUUGUUAUUCCAUGCUAUAAAGAAUGAAAUGAAGUUAUAUAGGUCUUCAAAAUUCUUGUGUACUGAAAUUGACUAUGAAGUAGUUUUUAAUUUCAAUUUAACUUUCUUGAACAUUUUAUUAUCAAAUUUGCUAAGCAUUAAUUUGAAUUAGUUAUUACGUCAUAUUGACAUUUUGUCUAUGUGGUUGAAUUGUAGCUUAUAAUGUGAAGAAAAAAUCACGAAGUAUGUCAUAAUUGUAGACAUAACGAUCUUAUUUGGGGAUUGCCCAAAUAAACGCCCAUGCCAAUUGUGUAAACAUGAAUUUGUGAAGGUGUUUUUAGGUGGAGAAGGAUACUGAGAAAAAAAAGGUAAUUUGUUCAAUUGUUGCAACGCGAACUGUGGAUAUUGGGAGUGGGUUUGAGCAGGUAAAACAAAUAGUGAAUCAACAGAAAUCGUUGGCAGUACCUCCACUAACCCUGUGGAUAAUGAAUUAGUUCAAGAUGUCUUUGGCAUGCUUGAAAUCAUGUGUCGGCUAACUUAGGAAAAAGAUGUGGAAAGAGGAAAAGCGAUUGCAAAAGAAGAUAAGAAAUGAAAGGGUGCCUAAUUUGUAGUUGUUAAUUUAAUCAAAUUGUUAUUUUAAGACUUUAUUGGGAUGCCUACCAUGUGGUUAGUGUUUUACGUGAAAUUUACAUGAAUUAAAGUUUACCUAUACCUCUGUAACCUACGAGAACAUUUUACCAGCAAAUCACAUAAAAACGUAGAGGUCUAUAGCUAAAAAAUAUUUUCCAUUGAUAGAUUAAUGUGCUAAACACAAUUCAUUAGCUACUAAACAAGUAGAG